rnacentral:rRNA from 1 species
CGCCAGGGAUGAUAAUGACAGUACCUACGGUAAAGAAACCCCGGCUAACUCCGUGCCAGCAGCCGCGGUAAUACGGAGGGGUUAGCGUUGUUCGGAAUUACUGGGCGUAAAGCGCGCGUAGGCGGAUUAGUCAGUUAGAGGUGAAAUCCCACGGGCUCAACCCUGGAACUGCCUUUAAUACUGCUAGUCUUGAGUUCGAGAGAGGUGAGUGGAAUUCCGAGUGUAGAGGUGAAAUUCGUAGAUAUUCGGAGGAACACCAGUGGCGAAGGCGGCUCACUGGCUCGAUACUGACGCUGAGGUGCGAAAGUGUGGGGAGCAAACAGGAUUAGAUACCCCUGGUAG